GACGAACGCUGGCGGCGUGCUUAACACAUGCAAGUCGAACGGUAAGGCCCUUCGGGGGACACGAGUGGCGAACGGGUGAGUAAAUCGUGGGUGAUCUGCCCUGCACUUCGGGAUAAGCCUGGGAAACUGGGUCCAAUACCGGAUAGGACCAAUGCCUGCAUGGGUGGUGGUGGAAAGCUUUUUCGGUGUGGGAUGGGCCCACGGCCUAUCAGCUUGUUGGUGGGGUGAUGGCCUACCAAGGCGACGACGGGUAGCCGGCCGGAGAGGGUGACCGGCUACACUGGUACUGAGAUACGGCCCAGACUCCUACGGGAGGAAGCAGUGGGGAAUAUUGCACAAUGGGCGCAAGCCUGAUGCAGCGACGCCGCGUGAGGGAUGACGGCCUUCGGGUUGUAAACCUCUUUCAGCACAGACGAAGCGCAAGUGACGGUAGGUGCAGAAGAAGGACCGGCCAACUACGUGCCAGCAGCCGCCGUAA
rnacentral:rRNA from 1 species